GACGAACGCUGGCGGCGUGCUUAACACAUGCAAGUCGAACGGAAAGGCCCUGCUUUUGUGGGGUGCUCGAGUGGCGAACGGGUGAGUAACACGUGAGUAACCUGCCCUUGACUUUGGGAUAACUUCAGGAAACUGGGGCUAAUACCUGAUAGGAGCUCCUGCUGCAUGGUGGGGGUUGGAAAGUUUCGGCGGUUGGGGAUGGACUCGCGGCUUAUCAGCUUGUUGGUGGGGUAGUGGCUUACCAAGGCUUUGACGGGUAGCCGGCCUGAGAGGGGCACCGGCCCCAUUGGGACUGAGAUACGGCCCAGACUCCUACGGGAGGCAGCAGUGGGGAAUAUUGCACAAUGGGCGGAAGCCUGAUGUAGCAACGCCGCGUGCGGGAUGACGGCCUUCGGGUUGUAAACCGCUUUCGCCUGUGACGAAGCGUGAGUGACGGUAAUGGGUAAAGAAGCACCGGCUAACUACGUG
rnacentral:rRNA from 1 species